ACUACAACUACGACUACUGGCGCCCCCACAACUUCUACUCCGAUGAUUCCUGCAGCAACAACUGUUCCACUUCAGUGUACGACCUGCAUAGACUCAUCAUGUUCCGUUGAAGACGUAUUGCCAUGUUCCUCUGAAACAAUGUGUGUGUCAGCAGCCAUCCUCGAGUCUUCCAAUGGAGCCGAGACUGAUCGAAUCUUCAAGGGCUGUGCAAACUCCUCCCUGUGUCCAUCUACAGGCCUUCAAACCCUUUCAACCAGUUUGGGUCCAACAACUACAGUUAUAUCUGCUAACUGCUGCGACACAGAAAACUGCAACUCGGCCACUCAAGCUGCACCAACUCUUCCAGAUCCAAACGGCCGACUGUGUAACUUCUGUCUUCCUGAUACCACGGACUGCAAUGUUAUCGUCCAGUGUCGAGGAAACCAGGACAGAUGCAUCCAGGGAAAUGUGACAACAGACUCUGGCACGUCUCCACUUAGCGGCUGCUCAUCUGAAAAUGUGUGUAGUGCUGCUCAGAGCUCGGGGAUGCUGCCACUGAGGCCAGAGGUUGGCGAUUUCAGCAGAGGACCCCUAUGCUGUGAAGGAAAUCUGUGUAAUGAUGUCCUGCUGACUACAACUACGACUACUGGCGCCCCCACAACUUCUACUCCGAUGAUUCCUGCAGCAACAACUGUUCCACUUCAGUGUACGACCUGCAUAGACUCAUCAUGUACCGUUGAAGACGUAUUGCCAUGUUC